GGGAUGCGUUCCAUUAGGCAGUUGGUGAGGUAACGGCUCACCAAACCUUCGAUGGAUAGGGGUUCUGAGAGGAAGGUCCCCCACAUUGGAACUGAGACACGGUCCAAACUCCUACGGGAGGCAGCAGUGAGGAAUAUUGGUCAAUGGGCGCAGGCCUGAACCAGCCAAGUAGCGUGAAGGAUGACUGCCCUAUGGGUUGUAAACUUCUUUUAUAUGGGAAUAAAGUUUUCCACGUGUGGAAUUUUGUAUGUACCAUAUGAAUAAGGAUCGGCUAACUCCGUGCCAGCAGCCGCGGUAAUACGGAGGAUCCGAGCGUUAUCCGGAUUUAUUGGGUUUAAAGGGAGCGUAGGUGGACAGUUAAGUCAGUUGUGAAAGUUUGCGGCUCAACCGUAAAAUUGCAGUUGAUACUGGCUGUCUUGAGUACAGUAGAGGUGGGCGGAAUUCGUGGUGUAGCGGUGAAAUGCUUAGAUAUCACGAAGAACUCCGAUUGCGAAGGCAGCUCACUGGACUGCAACUGACACUGAUGCUCGAAAGUGUGGGUAUCAAACAGGAUUAGAUACCCUGGUAGUCCACACAGUAAACGAUGAAUACUCGCUGUUUGCGAUAUACAGUAAGCGGCCAAGCGAAAGCAUUAAGUAUUCCACCUGGGGAGUACGCCGGCAACGGUGAAACUCAAAGGAAUUGACGGGGGCCCGCACAAGCGGAGGAACAUGUGGUUUAAUUCGAUGAUACGCGAGGAACCUUACCCGGGCUUAAAUUGCAUUUGAAUAUAUUGGAAACAGUAUAGCCGUAAGGCAAAUGUGAAGGUGCUGCAUGGUUGUCGUCAGCUCGUGCCGUGAGGUGUCGGCUUAAGUGCCAUAACGAGCGCAACCCUUAUCUUUAGUUACUAACAGGUCAUGCUGAGGACUCUAGAGAGACUGCCGUCGUAAGAUGUGAGGAAGGUGGGGAUGACGUCAAAUCAGCACGGCCCUUACGUCCGGGGCUACACACGUGUUACAAUGGGGGGUACAGAAGGCAGCUACCUGGUGACAGGAUGCUAAUCCCA
rnacentral:rRNA from 1 species